ensembl:lncRNA
UGAAAUGCUAGAGUUUGCUAAAGAUUUUGAGUCUGUGACAGUCCAUGAGGAUCCUAUGCAACUCUGUAGAGACAACAGCUCAGGUGACACCCUGGAACAGUCCACUGUGACAUCUGAUUCCUUAGGUGGAGACCAAGACCACCAGUCUAUUGAGCACCAUUUUUCUCCACAGGCAAACAUCAUUCAAAGUAAUAUAAUACAUUCUAAAGAAGAAUUUUGGAGAUCAGAUGCCUCACUCAUUAAAAAUGUGGCAGUAAGUGGAAAGUCCCUAUUUGAAGCCACUGAGCCUUCAGUAUUCCAUGUUCAAUCAGAACAGAAUUCCCUAGUAUUAACUGCUCUGCCAGUGAAGAACAGAGGGAAAACGGGUGCAGUUAUGGAUGCCAUGCUUCAUAAAGAAUCAGGAAAUGAUCUCUUAGAGGGUGUCAGUAGUAAAGAUAUCUGUUCUGAAAUCAAAGAUUUUGUUCUUGAGAACCUAAUUAACGGGCCUUCCUUUCCAGUACUCUCAAAAUCCAUGUCUAAUGACAUGCAGGAAGACAAACAGAAAGUCAGUAUAUUGCCAACCAGUCCAUUUAUGAAAGAUUACCUGGUAAGUCAACUUAGCACCAUUAGUGAAGAGGAAGAAAUAAUGCAUUCUAAUAGACCGACAGUUCCUGUAGGACAUCUCCAUCCCACCACUGGAGUUGGAACAGGGACAGGGGAGGAUACAUCAGAUCCAAACUCAGUGCCCUCACCUGGUAGAGUGCUUCUUCACAGCCUGUACAAGAGUGCAGAUUCAGACCAGUAUCUUACUUGUGUAUCUCAACAGGAUUUCCCGUUUUCCCCUAGCUUAGAGCUCACAAAGGAAGUGAAACCAAGACAUGAUCUGUCUGAGGAAGACACUUCAGAAUUUGAAUCCUUGCCAAACCAUAUCCCUAAUGUUGUGUCACAAGAUGACACAUCUGUAAAAGGCGUACCAGAAAUGGGUUGUAGGCAAGAUCAGGUCAUAGCAGAAAACAUUAUUUCUUCUCCAGAAGCCUUGCCAAAACAACAAUCUCCUCUGGCUGUUCUACCAAAUAAUUGCUUAUUGGACCUCCUCCCAGAAACACACACCUUUACACCAAAACCAGCCUCCUCACACAAUACUUCAUCUGAGAACAUGAUAAAGUCAGAUUUUGACGAAGCAGUGCUAUACUGCAACCCUUCAGCGGUUCUUGUUGAGAAAUAUGACUUUCCCAAAGAUAUGUCGCCAAUUGUUGUUACCUCAGAAAUGAUAGCAGAACUUGAGGUUCAGCUUGCGCCAUUAGAUACAGACACAUGUCUGGUAGAUGAGUGUAAAAACUGCCCAAAUGAUGGAUCCAUUAAUUUAGAAUCUUUUGAGAAUGAAUCAGAGGACAACUUGCAUUUAGUCCAGUUGACCGAUUCUAAUGCAUUUGUAUCUAAUUGUUCAUCAGGACAAACCUCCAGUAUCACUCAGGACUUUGUCAUAACUGAUUCUGACCUGAAAAACAUCUUUGUACCCCAGCCAACUGAAACGCACUUUCUUUGUACUAGCAAAGGUCCUGUUUCAAACCCUGAAUCUGCAGAAACUCACAAUGACUUGGAACCAAAUCCUAAACCAGCAGAGAGUCUGGACGUAAAUACUGAUGUGUGUACAACUCCAGCUGUUCAACAUUCUGAGACACCUGUCUCAGUUCCAGUGCACUGGCCCCCUUUACCCCAGCCAUCAGCCCCUUCACCCUUCAACCAGCUAACAAUGACUUCAAGGAAUGAUCAUAAUCUUAACUUUACAUCUUCUUUGUUCAACCUUUCACCUGUUGCUUCCUCAACACCACAUGUAACAGUAGACACUAAUGCGCUGCCCCAGCUAUUCCCCUUCCCCACAAUUCCCCCUACCUCAGUGGAGUCAUUGCCACGUCCAGAACUUGCUGCUCCUCUUCCUGCUAUGCAGCCUGUGAAUUCUACAGCAUACAAUCGUUUUCUCCAGGAUAAAACACAGACA